AAGAAAAAAUAUCUCUUUAGAAAUAUUGCCUUAAAAACGAACUCCCAAUAUUACUCAUGUGUGGUCCAUAUAGUUAAAAUUAGAUGACUUGUACAAAAAAUAACCAAACCACGUUCUAGGUUUGAGGUUGCUAUUAACUACCAUUUUUUAUUCUUCGUUGCGGAAAUUAUAUAUUAUUCCAAAAUAUUUGUAGUUUUGAUUUUGAAGUAUCUUAACUAAAGCCUAGCAUUAAAAUCACGAGUAAAA
rnacentral:lncRNA from 1 species